GACGAACGCUGGCGGCGUGCCUAAUACAUGCAAGUAGAACGCUGAAGGAGGAGCUUGCUUCUCUGGAUGAGUUGCGAACGGGUGAGUAACGCGUAGGUAACCUGCCUGGUAGCGGGGGAUAACUAUUGGAAACGAUAGCUAAUACCGCAUAAUAGUAGAUGUUGCAUGACAUUGGCUUAAAAGGUGCAAUUGCAUCACUACCAUAUGGACAUGCGUUGUAUUAGCUAGGUGGUGGGGUAACGGCUCAACAAGGCGACGAUACAUAGCCGACCUGCGAGGGGGAGCGGCCACCCUGGGACGGAGACACGGCCCAGAGUCCUACGGGAGGCAGCCGUAGGGCUUCGUCGGCAAUGGACGGAAGUCUGACCGAGCAACGCCGAGGGAGUGAAGAAGGUUUUCGGGUCGUAAAGCUCGGUUGUCAGGGAAGAAAGAUUGUGAGAGUGGAAAGUUCACACUGUGACGGUACCUUAACAGAAAGCGCCGGCUAACUACGUG
rnacentral:rRNA from 1 species